rnacentral:rRNA from 1 species
UACAGAGGUCUCAAGCGUUGUUCGGAUUCAUUGGGCGUAAAGGGUGCGUAGGUGGCAGGGUAAGUCAGGUGUGAAAUCUCGGGGCUCAACCCCGAAACUGCACUUGAUACUGCCUUGCUCGAGUACUGGAGAGGAGAUUGGAAUUUACGGUGUAGCAGUGAAAUGCGUAGAUAUCGUAAGGAAGACCAGUGGCGAAGGCGGGUCUCUGGACAGUUCCUGACGCUGAGGCACGAAGGUCAGGGGAGCAAACGGG